GUACACGCUGUGACUAGCAUAUCAAUAAGCGGAGGAAAAGAAACUAACAAGGAUUCCCCUAGUAACGGCGAGUGAAGCGGGAAGAGCUCAAAUUUGAAAUCUUAAAGGGUUUCCCUUUACGAAUUGUAGUUUAAAGAAGUGUUUUCUGUUGAGGUUUUGGUAAAAGUUCUUUGGAAUAGGACAUCAUAGAGGGUGAGAAUCCCGUAUUUGACCUUUACUUUCAACUUUGUGAUACACUUUCAAAGAGUCGGAUUGUUUGGGAAUGCAGUCCAAAAUGGGUGGUAAAUUUCAUCUAAAGCUAAAUAUUGGCGAGAGACCGAUAGCGAACAAGUACCGUGAGGGAAAGAUGAAAAGAACUUUGAAAAGAGAGUUAAACAGUACGUGAAAUUGUCAAAAGGGAAGCGUUUGACACCAGUGUUGUUUUUUCUGAAAAUCAAUUAAAGAACUGUUUAUGCUAAGUUGUUUAGACUUUAUCAGCUAACUGUUUAGUUUUGAGCUUUUCUUUAAUGCACUUUUCAGUUAACAAGUCAACAUCAAUUUCUUUUGCUGUAAAAAAGCUUGAGGAAGGUGGCUUGAGAUUCGUCUUAAGUGUUUAUAGCCUCUUGCCUAUGCAGUCGGAGAGAUUGAGGUCUGCAGCGUAGAUCCUUCGGGGCUAAAUGCAUUUGUGCUAAGUUAUAGCAUUUUAUAGACAACUUGUUGACUAUGAUUUGUCUUGUAGCUUACUCGCUUAUGUUAUUUUACCUACGCUUAGGAUGUUGACGAGACUGUCGAUCUC
rnacentral:rRNA from 1 species